rnacentral:lncRNA from 1 species
ACCGUCUAUACUUCUGAUGGAUCGUCGGUAACAGAUCGAUGUAGAAUAAUUGAUAUCAGUAAAUAUCUGAACUUGAUGCCAAGCCUUUGGUGUCAGUAAUCAGAUCAGUCGACAAUUAAAGUAAAGUGAGGAAGAUCGAAAGAUAAUCGAGAUGAGUGUCCUGCUUACUAGCAGUUUUGGAUUAAGCCGAUUUAGCAGAUAAUACUGGAGAGGUAGGUCGGCCAUAAAUUGAUGUAACAUAAAAGAACAUUUACUUCAGAUAACAAUCUGUUGCCACGUGUUCAAAUGAUGAUGAAGUCGGACUUAUGAUGAGGUCGGACUCCUGA